ACAGGUUAAUGUUAGUGGAUUACUCAGGAACAGGUUAAUGUUAAAGUGGAUUACUCAGGAACAGGUUAAUGUUAGUAUUUCUCAGGAACAGGUUAAUGUUAGUAUUUCUCAGGAACAGGUUAAUGUUAGUAUUACUCAGGAACAGGUUAAUGUUAGUGGAUUACUCAGGAACAGGUUAAUGUUAGUGGAUUACUCAGGAACAGGUUAAUGUUAGUGGAUUACUCAGGAACAGGUUAAUGUUAAAGUGGAUUACUCAGGAACAGGUUAAUGUUAGUGGAUUACUCAGGAACAGGUUAAUGUUAGUGGAUUACUCAGGAACAGGUUAAUGUUAGUGGAUUACUCAGGAACAGGUUAAUGUUAGUGGAUUACUCAGGAACAGGUUAAUGUUAGUGGAUUACUCAGGAACAGGUUAAUGUUAAAGUGGAUUACUCAGGAACAGGUUAAUGUUAGUGGAUUACUCAGGAACAGGUUAAUGUUAAAGUGGAUUACUCAGGAACAGGUUAAUGUUAGUGGAUUACUCAGGAACAGGUUAAUGUUAAAGUGGAUUACUCAGGAACAGGUUAAUGUUAGUGGAUUACUCAGGAACAGGUUAAUGUUAAAGUGGAUUACUCAGGAAC
ensembl:lncRNA